AACUCAAUGAGGUUUUAACAGUGGCAGUGUCAAGCCUGCAACCCCGAUUUGAAAAGCUGUGCAGUGCAAAACAGGCUCAUUGCAGCCACUAAUGCUGGAGUACUGUAAAACUCAUGUUCACUUGCAGGGGCGCCGAAAAGGGGGGGUAAAGGAGACGGAUUCUAGGGGCCCAUGAUGGAGGGGGGCCCAGAGAGGCCCCUAAUGAUGAUGAAAUUAUAAUACAGAAAAAAUAAUGACACUAAGUUAUUAACUAACAUAUAAUCACACAUGUUUUAUUUUCCAUGUCCUGGUAACAAUACCUUUAUUUGUUUUGGAAGCAUCAACACCUGCAGGGCCCUCCCUUCCCCCCCUCUAUUUACGUAAAAUGGUUCAGUCCGACUGGAUCAGCUGCAGGUAGAGCACCGACGAUUUGUCACAGACAGACAGCGCCACAGCGGGCAAAGCGGAGGAGACAGCAGUAUGCCUCAAAAAUCAGGCAGCCAAAAAAGAAAGGAAAAUAAAAUAACAGAGGAGAAGGAGUUGAAGGGUCGACAAUAUGUCACCCAAUAUUUCCCAAAAAAAGUCAAGUGCACCAGCAGCAGCAGCAGCUGUCUGUCAGCCCCCAAGUCCCCCUGCCCCUGGAUCAGCCCGUGCCCCCACAUGAGGAAGGAGUACUUCCCGUGUCUCCCGUGAUCGAGCUGUGUGCCUCGACUUUCCUGUUGGAUUCCGGACUGCCUUCCUCGAUCCUCGGCCCCUGCUUGGACACGGAUCUCAUUGCUUCUCUCCAGCCCUCGAUCGCUUGCUUGCCCAUGGACUGCCUUCUUGCCUUGCCCCUAUGGUCUGACGAAAGAUUCGCUCAACAGUCAU